rnacentral:rRNA from 1 species
AGCUUGCUCCUCUGACGUUAGCGGCGGACGGGUGAGUAACACGUGGAUAACCUACCUAUAAGACUGGGAUAACUUCGGGAAACCGGAGCUAAUACCGGAUAAUAUAUUGAACCGCAUGGUUCAAUAGUGAAAGACGGUUUUGCUGUCACUUAUAGAUGGAUCCGCGCCGCAUUAGCUAGUUGGUAAGGUAACGGCUUACCAAGGCAACGAUGCGUAGCCGACCUGAGAGGGUGAUCGGCCACACUGGAACUGAGACACGGUCCAGACUCCUACGGGAGGCAGCAGUAGGGAAUCUUCCGCAAUGGGCGAAAGCCUGACGGAGCAACGCCGCGUGAGUGAUGAAGGUCUUCGGAUCGUAAAACUCUGUUAUUAGGGAAGAACAAAUGUGUAAGUAACUAUGCACGUCUUGACGGUACCUAAUCAGAAAGCCACGGCUAACUACGUGCCAGCAGCCGCGGUAAUACGUAGGUGGCAAGCGUUAUCCGGAAUUAUUGGGCGUAAAGCGCGCGUAGGCGGUUUUUUAAGUCUGAUGUGAAAGCCCACGGCUCAACCGUGGAGGGUCAUUGGAAACUGGAAAACUUGAGUGCAGAAGAGGAAAGUGGAAUUCCAUGUGUAGCGGUGAAAUGCGCAGAGAUAUGGAGGAACACCAGUGGCGAAGGCGACUUUCUGGUCUGUAACUGACGCUGAUGUGCGAAAGCGUGGGGAUCAAACAGGAUUAGAUACCCUGGUAGUCCACGCCGUAAACGAUGAGUGCUAAGUGUUAGGGGGUUUCCGCCCCUUAGUGCUGCAGCUAACGCAUUAAGCACUCCGCCUGGGGAGUACGACCGCAAGGUUGAAACUCAAAGGAAUUGACGGGGACCCGCACAAGCGGUGGAGCAUGUGGUUUAAUUCGAAGCAACGCGAAGAACCUUACCAAAUCUUGACAUCCUCUGACCCCUCUAGAGAUAGAGUUUUCCCCUUCGGGGGACAGAGUGACAGGUGGUGCAUGGUUGUCGUCAGCUCGUGUCGUGAGAUGUUGGGUUAAGUCCCGCAACGAGCGCAACCCUUAAGCUUAGUUGCCAUCAUUAAGUUGGGCACUCUAAGUUGACUGCCGGUGACAAACCGGAGGAAGGUGGGGAUGACGUCAAAUCAUCAUGCCCCUUAUGAUUUGGGCUACACACGUGCUACAAUGGACAAUACAAAGGGCAGCGAAACCGCGAGGUCAAGCAAAUCCCAUAAAGUUGUUCUCAGUUCGGAUUGUAGUCUGCAACUCGACUAUAUGAAGCUGGAAUCGCUAGUAAUCGUAGAUCAGCAUGCUACGGUGAAUACGUUCCCGGGUCUUGUACACACCGCCCGUCA